rnacentral:rRNA from 1 species
AUUGAACGCUGGCGGCAGGCCUAACACAUGCAAGUCGAGCGGCAGCGGGAAAGUAGCUUGCUACUUUUGCCGGCGAGCGGCGGACGGGUGAGUAAUGCCUGGGAAAUUGCCCAGUCGAGGGGGAUAACAGUUGGAAACGACUGCUAAUACCGCAUACAGCCUACGGGGGAAAGCAGGGGACCUUCGGGCCUUGCGCGAUUGGAUAUGCCCAGGUGGGAUUAGCUAGUUGGUGAGGUAAUGGCUCACCAAGGCGACGAUCCCUAGCUGGUCUGAGAGGAUGAUCAGCCACACUGGAACUGAGACACGGUCCAGACUCCUACGGGAGGCAGCAGUGGGGAAUAUUGCACAAUGGGGGAAACCCUGAUGCAGCCAUGCCGCGUGUGUGAAGAAGGCCUUCGGGUUGUAAAGCACUUUCAGCGAGGAGGAAAGGUCAGUAGCUAAUAUCUGCUGACUGUGACGUUACUCGCAGAAGAAGCACCGGCUAACUCCGUGCCAGCAGCCGCAGUAACAC